GAUCCUGUGACGCAGUGGUUAGCGUGUCGUUCUUAUAUUGUAUGCUUGCAUCCAGUAUGAAUUCCUUUCGAGAAAUGCGAAAGUCGCGAGUUCAAGUCUCGCCAGGAUCA
rfam:Exophiala sideris strain CBS 121828 unplaced genomic scaffold supercont1.1, whole genome shotgun sequence.